rnacentral:rRNA from 1 species
AUUGAACGCUGGCGGCAUGCUUUACACAUGCAAGUCGAACGGUAACAGGUUAAGCUGACGAGUGGCGAACGGGUGAGUAAUGCAUCGGAACGUGCCCGGUCGUGGGGGAUAACGCAGCGAAAGCUGCGCUAAUACCGCAUACGAUCUGAGGAUGAAAGCGGGGGACCGUGAGGCCUCGCGCGAUCGGAGCGGCCGAUGUCAGAUUAGGUAGUUGGUGAGGUAAAGGCUAACCAAGCCAACGAUCUGUAGCUGGUCUGAGAGGACGACCAGCCACACUGGGACUGAGACACGGCCCAGACUCCUACGGGAGGCAGCAGGGGGGAAUUGUGGACAAUGGGCGAAAGCCUGAUUCAGCAAUGCCGCGUGCAGGAAGAAGGCCUUCGGGUUGUAAACUGCUUUUGUACGGAGCGAAAAGGCUCUCUCUAAUACAGGGGGCUCAUGACGGUACCGUAAGAAUAAGCACCGGCUAACUACGUGCCAGCCGCCGCAGUAA